UACGGAGGGUCCAAGCGUUAUCCGGAAUCAUUGGGUUUAAAGGGUCCGUAGGCGGUUUUGUAAGUCAGUGGUGAAAGCCCAUCGCUCAACGGUGGAACGGCCAUUGAUACUGCAAGACUUGAAUUAUUGGGAAGCAACUAGAAUAUGUAGUGUAGCGGUGAAAUGCUUAGAGAUUACAUGGAAUACCAAUUGCGAAGGCAGGUUGCUACCAAUACAUUGACGCUGAUGGACGAAAGCGUGG
rnacentral:rRNA from 1 species